CCUACGGGAGGCAGCAGUGAGGAAUAUUGGUCAAUGGCCGUAAGGCUGAACCAGCCAAGUAGCGUGAGGGAAGACUGCCCUAUGGGUUGUAAACCUCUUUUAUGCGGGGAUAAAGGUGUCCACGUGUGGAUGUUUGCAGGUACCGCAUGAAUAAGGAUCGGCUAACUCCGUGCCAGCAGCCGCGGUAAUACGGAGGAUCCGAGCGUUAUCCGGAUUUAUUGGGUGUAAAGGGCGUGCAGCCGGGAAGACAAGUCAGAUGUGAAAUCCCGCGGCUCAACCGCGGAACUGCAUUUGAAACUGUUUUUCUUGAGUACCGGAGAGGUCAUCGGAAUUCCUUGUGUAGCGGUGAAAUGCGUAGAUAUAAGGAAGAACACCAGUGGCGAAGGCGGAUGACUGGACGGCAACUGACGGUGAGGCGCGAAAGCGUGGGGAGCAAACAGGAUUAGAUACCCUAGUAGUC
rnacentral:rRNA from 1 species